ACUGCCGCGACACUUCAGCACCCUCGCUGCCGCCGCCGCACCUCAGCCCGCUCACCGACUCCAUCGUCGUCCCCGUCGCAACCCCCCUUCAUUUGAUGUUGCCCCAACCACCUCAUCCAAUAGAUCGUCGGCGCCCCAACCACCUCAUCCAAUAGAAUGUCGGUCGUGGCGUCACGAAGUUGCUGGCGCCGCCCAAUUCGUCGUGGGUGAAGGCGCACCAGAAGCAAGCGUAGGUGGAGCUUCUUCAACGUAUGCCUCGCCAUGGGGCUCGCUGUGCUGCUGGCGGACAGCGGCGGCCUCGCUGGUGUGGUACGAGACUUCCAGAUCACCCAACGGCAAUAUCUUGUGAUUUUUUUGGACCUAUUUUUGAUUCGUACAUGAUGGAGUGCAUCUCCUGGUUCAGCUGAAAAUUGAUAUCUAUUUGGUUUAUGCAUUUCAUUUUUUGCAUUCGAUUUUGCCUCCCGCUCGUCCUUGGUAUGCUCGUCUAUCUUGGCUGCUCUGCUUGUGUGCUUCUCCUCUCCAACUCAGCCACAGACAUGUUUAAGAUGCCUCUCAAGUACUGCCCUGAGGACAAGGUGGCUAAGAGGGCUUCUAAAGAGAGCCCAGGCUGAGGCUGAGGGGAAAACCGUGAGGCCAAGAAGUCAAUUGUUCUAUAAUAUGGUCUUAACAAUGUCACUUACCUCAUCGGGCGGGUGCUGAUAUGAGUUAUUUCUUUGUUUGACCUAAUUAAUCCUUAUUCAUGGCAUCUUUUUUGGCUACUCGGCUAGUGGUCUAUCCACUUACAUUCACCGCGUUCACUUCCGGACACUUGUACCCAAGGACGGAGCCAGGGGGCGUGUUGGGGCCAUGUCCCCCGUGUGAUCUUUCCAAGAGCUAAAAAUACUCUCAAUUCUCAUGUUUGGCCCUCUCCAAGAUUUUAACUCUUCCAUUGACCCCCCUUGUGUAAGAUGCUUGCUUUGUCCCUCCUUGUACCAAAAGUGUUUGUUGUGCCAUAUUAUCUUUGUAUCUUUUUUAGAUCUGUUCAUAUUGAUUGCUGACAGUGACACUUAGAAUGAUAGUUCAAAUAUCUUUUUUGUAUUUAAAAUGUGGGCUGAAUUUCUAACUUCUGUAACUAAAAAGCUAAUAUGUCAGCUAUUUUGUGUCAGGUGUACUUUGAUUUUAUAUAUGUUGCAGGGUACUUGAUUCUCUAGAACUGUAUGGAGCAACCAAAUUCAAGUGAGAACACGAUACUUCGUUGGUGUGUCCAUGCAUAUGUCUAUAUAUAGCCGGAACCCUCAAGUGAGUACGAAAUGAACAAUACCCCAGGAGCUCACGUGCAUUUCAAAAAUGUUCUAUUCCUCCCACAUUCAGCCACCUGGAGUAUCCUGCUCUCCCCAAGAACUCUUAUCGACGAAAGUGUACAUGCAAUGAGUUCUGUAGUUCUCAUGUAUUUUUUUUUACCAAAAGACAGUUGACUUUACUUGGUUUAUUUUUUGUUUUAUAGUAAUCGAUCAUAUAUUCGUAUAGUUUUGAAGGUUCUCA